rnacentral:rRNA from 1 species
UAAGCGGAGGAAAAGAAACUAACCAGGAUUCCCUUAGUAACGGCGAGUGAACAGGGAAAAGCCCAGCACCGAAGCCUGUGGCCGUUUGGUCUCUAGGCAAUGUGGUGUUCAGGUCAGCUCGCAGAGAUACUGCUCCACCCUAAGUCCUGUAAUGAGUAAGGUUACUGGAGCGGCCCACAGAGGGUGAAAGGCCCGUGGGGGUGGAGAUGCAGAUGAGUCAGUGUCUCUAUGAGUGGACCUUGGAGUCGGGUUGUUUGUGAAUGCAGCCCAAAGUGGGUGGUAAACUCCAUCCAAGGCUAAAUACUGGCACGAGUCCGAUAGCGAACAAGUACCGUGAGGGAAAGUUGAAAAGUACUUUGAAGAGAGAGUAAACAGUGCGUGAAACCGCUCAAAGGUAAACGGGUGGAGUUGAACUGCAAGCUCCGGGAAUUCAACUGGUGAGUGUGAUGUGAGCUUGGCACAUAGUUGUACAUCUGGGUCUGCUUAGCUGCAGGUCUCCGCCUCUGGUGGGGAUGCGCGAAUCACUUAUCAUGUGUUGUGCGCCCGGGCUGUGUCGAACUGGCUCGCCAGUGCACUUUCUCGGAGUAGUCACCACGACCGGCGUUGCUGCCUUGCUGUUGCGGUUAAACCGGCCUUGUAGGGUCCCUGUGGCCUUGCUUGGUCGGGAUGGCAGGUAGCCCGUUGUGUACUUUUGUGCGCCUCGGGUGUAAUAGCUGACUGCAUCGGUUUUGUGCGGUACGUCGGAGACGGCGGCUUGUUGUGCGUGCGUGCGUACCUUGUGCGCUGGCGGCGCUGGGUCCGGUUGCCAUGUUGCUUGUGAAUGCAGGCCUGGUGAUGGCUCGGUGUUGUUCGGUGUGCGGAUGCGUGUGUGGCACUUAAAGGGCCAAUAGUCUGUGGUGUAGUGGUAGACUAUCC